AUACAUAUUUUUUUUAUUUAGAGGUUACCAGAAGCUCUGGUUUUGUUUUGUUUUGUUUUGUUUUUUUAAAAUCAUUUUCAGAUGUUAUCCAGAAAUCUGCAAGUGUACUUUUCCUGUUUUAACUCCUUCCUUUUAUCACCUGACUAUCAGGGAAGCGAGGUUGAGGCUGCCCUGACCUGACAUGUCAUGAUGUCGACUUGCUAGGUGGGGUUCGCUGGGGACGAUAACCAGUGGAAUUAUUGGCCUUACAGCUAGAGAAGUAGUCCAUCUGAUGUUGAAUGCAAGUGGGUGUGAUACCAGAACUGACAUUUUAACCACCAUUCUACUGUCUUCUGGAUUUACUUGCUCUAUGCAGUCUUAUUAGAUUGGGAGUUCUUAUUCCUUGAAGGUAAAGGCCACUUUAUUUCUGUGAAUACUUCUUAGUUGCCCUGUUUGUACCUUCCUGCUUUCUUUUAUGUCUUCAGAGUGGCUACUUACUAGAAGCUCAUGAAGGUUAGGUGUAUUUAUAACCAUGUUUGUCUGUAGUGUUGAUUGUCUUUUCUAUAAUGCCUUCCUGAUUAGGAAGUGGUCAUUAUUAUUCCCAUUUCACUUUAUAACUCAUGUGAUUUACCUAGGCUAGGGUUAUGGAAUAAAGAUAAAACAGAACUAGAACUUCCUGAUAACUAUUCACUCACCUUAAUUCCUAGAGAAAACCUAUAGUGAUAUGCAUAAACAGAGGUAAACAGUACCCUGAUGUACUUUGGAAAAAUCUGUUCUGUGAUAGUAACAGUCUGUAUAUGUACAUGUGUGUAUAUAUAUGAUUAAUAAAUAUCCAGGAUAGCAGAACUGGGACUUAAUGACCAGAAAAUAUUAAAACAGACUGGCACUAAUCAUAAUUAGCAACAAAGAUUAACCAGCCAACUUCAGAAUUCCAAAUAGCUAGCUAACAAGGUAUCCACAGUUUUGCAGUUCCAUCUAAUUGUUUUGCCUAGGAAAUUUGUAAUUACCGAUUCAUUGCUAUUCAAAGUCAGUGUACUAAUAAUACCAAUAAUCUUCAGGCCAUUUCAGUUGCCUUUUUGCUCCCAAUCACUUGAUUUCUGACACAGUAGUAGUAAAGCCCUCAAAACUUCUAGCUUUUGAAUUGUUUGAACCACAAUUCUAUAUCUUUCCUUGUCCUGGGUAAUGCCUCCUUUCUGUGUAAUACUUUUGUCCUACUUUAGGAACUUCUUCCACUUGUAAGGCUCUGUAGAUUUUAUAUCUUCCUAAAUCAUACCUCUAGCCAUAAUCUUUUCACUCUCCUAUGUACCUCUAGAUCAUUGAAACUUUGAUAAAAUUAAAAAUAGUUACCAGCAUUUGUUCACUUAAAUACUUAAUGAAUACGUAUGUUCCUAGCACUGUGGAGGCAUGUGGCUACAGGGGGAACAUCUGGCAAGGGGGACAAAACCUUCAAAAACAACCAUGAAAGAACUGUGUGCUUUUAAAGCAUUUUUGUGUGGUGAUGAGGAUGGAACCCAGGGCUUUGCACAUACUGGGCAAGCACUGUAGCCUCUGGGAACACUCUGCAUCCCACAGACUGCAAUCUUCUAUUGGGUUAUGCCAGUUCUUGAUGAUGUCUUUCCCAUAAUUCCUGCAGUCAUUAGUUCAGUAUCCUCAGAUGGUUGUAUUUAUAUUUUUCUUGUAGGAAAAUGACUUGGAACCAAUGCAGAAACAAAUAUAAUUAUCAACAAACACCAACAUGCCCAUUAUGUCAUGAUGUCUAAUUAAAUUCUUGAAAUUUUAGACCCUUUAUAUAGUUUGCUAGGGUCUUCCUUUCAGACCUUUAUCUUGUUAAAACUGACUGCAGUUCUGCAUAAUGCUUUCCUCUUAGGAAGGCUGUACUAACUUACUUGCUCACACCCUUAUCCACCUCUUUACUCAUUACUUCCUAGCAGUUACUUUGGAGAUUAUUCCCUUUUCUUUAAACAGGAGGAUUGGAAGGUAAUGUCAUAACAGGAAAAUGAUAUCUAGGCUCCACCCAGUGGCCCUCUUCAAGGAGCAUUUGGAAACACUUAAGUGAUGGGCAACAAAUUUGGACAGAACUUUACUAUCUAGAUGUUGUGGGUAACAAAAUCUGUACGUAGAAAAUGUAGAAGGGUCAGCAUUUAGUCAUAGGGGAGUUUGAGGGAUUUUAAGACCCAACCUAAUGACUCAAAAGGAACUUGGAAGAUUUCUCUGCUCUUCAUCAGCGUGGUGUAGUCUUGCUUCCCAGUUUUUCAAAAUCCCCAUUCCAUGGAAGUUGACUGACCAAAUGGCAGAAAAAAUAUCCUAGUUGUCCAGUCCUAGCCUACUCCUAAAAAUUAAGUGGUGGGUACAUAUAUGCUGUUAAUAUACUGAAAGCAAAAGCACUGUAAAUAUUGUGAUCUGUCCAUAUUGCCAUAGGUAUCCAUUACUGUGGGCAGAGUAUUGGGUAUGGAGCCCUUUCCUUAAAUCACAGUGAUAAACUCCUUUAUAGUGUGUUACAGUUUUUAUUUUGUUUUCCAGCUAUUUCCUAGGGAAAUUAAAGUACAAAAACAGCUUUUUGAUAUUUUGAACUUGAUAUCUAGUCAGCCUCCCCAUUUAUAAAAAGAACUCCCAUUCAUUGAACUCCUACUGUGUGCUAGGCACAUGCUUUAUAUUGACUUUGACAUUCAAAAUAACUCUUUGAGUGGGGCUGUGGCUGUGGCUCAGUGGUAGGGCGCCCGCCGAGCACGUGUGAGGCCCUGGGUUCGAUCCUCAGCACCACAUAAAAAUAAAUAAAGAUAUUGUGUCCAUCUACAACUAAAAAAAUGUUUAAAAAAAAUAACCCUUAGUUCGUUAGUAGUAUCCCUGUUUGACCAGUGGGAAAAUUGAUGCCUUAUAAAGAUUGAUACUUAUAAAGCUGGGUUGUGACGAAGCAAGUACUGGAACUAAGAAUUGACCUUUCUGUCUCCCCCCACCCUUAAUCUCAAGUACGCAUUAAGUUUUAUAGAGGUAGAGACAAAGCAUUUUCUUAGGUUAAACUUGUGGGGAGAAGACAAAACUGAAAAAACCCAAAAGGUUCGUGUCUUUUAAAUUUAAUUUUCUCUUGUAUGCUUCUGUUGCCCCUGACCUUUGCAUUGUACAAUAUUUUAACACAUUUUGUAAUUGAUAUAUGUGUGGUUCUUUGUAUGUACAAAAACUUAGUAGUUUUUUAGAGAAAAAGAAUUUAAAAAGUUCAAGUAGGGUGGGAUUGUAGCUCAACAGUAAAACACUUGCCUAGCUUGAGGCUCUGGGUUUGAUCCCCAGCACUGCAUAAAAAAUACUCUAAAAAAAUAUUUUUAAAAGCUCAAGUAUAUAUAUAGCUUGGUGGAUUUGAUUGUCCCCUCAGCAAACCUGAAUAUUCAAUUCCCUCCUCAGGAUGCAGACACUAAAUGAGAGCAUAGUGAUUCAGUACUAGAGUGCUAGCCUGGUGUGCUCUAGCCUGGGUUUGAUGCCCAGCACUGGGGGAAUAAAGAACAUGUGAUCUUUCAUUUCUUUUUAGUGUAAACAGUGUCACUUGGUGCCCAAGAGGACCACUACGUUAUAUUUUAGGUGAGCUAUUUCUAGAUAAAGAGAGUUUUAAAGCGUUUACCUGAACCUCUGAAAGUUGAUUAUAAUUGGAUACAUUAUCAAAACCCAAACUUAAAUUCCAGCCAUUCAGGGAGGGAAACUUUCUGAGGGAGACCCCUGUUUUCACCAUGAAAAAUGAAAACAACCUACAAAGUAAUAUAUAAAUAAAUAUUGCCUAGCACGUGCAAGGGCCUGGGUUCAAUCCUCAGCACCACAUAAAAAUAAAUAAAU